AUUGAACGCUGGCGGCAGGCCUAACACAUGCAAGUCGAACGGUAACAGGAAGACGCUUGCUUCUUUGCUGACGAGUGGCGGACGGGUGAGUAAUGUCUGGGAAACUGCCUGAUGGAGGGGGAUAACUACUUGAAACGGUAGCUAAUACCGCAUAAUGUCGCAAGACCAAAGAGGGGGACCUUCGGGCCUCUUGCCAUCGGAUGUGCCCAGAUGGGAUUAGCUAGUAGGUGGGGUAACGGCUCACCUAGGCGACGAUCCCUAGCUGGUCUGAGAGGAUGACCAGCCACACUGGAACUGAGACACGGUCCAGACUCCUACGGGAGGCAGCAGUGGGGAAUAUUGCACAAUGGGCGCAAGCCUGAUGCAGCUAUGCCGCGUGUAUGAAGAAGGCCUUCGGGUUGUAAAGUACUUUCAGCGGGGAGGAAGGGAGUAAAGUUAAUACCUUUGCUCAUUGACGUUACCCGCAGAAGAAGCACCGGCUAACUCCGUG
rnacentral:rRNA from 1 species